UUUACCCACCCCAAUCUUGUUAGUAAUAUAAAUUGAAGCACGCGGAUCACGAACUCCAUCAAAGCAUCAAUCCAACACACCAACCUCGACAGCUCGUCCCUUCCUCCAGCACCAGAGAGAUCCCCAUUGGUCAGUUCCAGGCAAGGCCAUGGACCUCUCCAGUGCGACGAGGCUGCCCCUGGCCCUGCUCUUCUUGCUGCUCGCGGCCUCGUCCAUGGCGCUACCAGCGCAGCCAGUGAUGGACCGCGUGCGCUGGCGGGUCGACAGGGUCAACCGGCGAGGCCCCUCCAUCGGGCUCGUCAUGUCGUACGUCGACGAGGACACCGCGCUGCAGGCCUCCGGCUACUUCAGCCCGUGGCCUGUCCUCCCCUUCGUUGACCUCUACGGACGAAGGUUUCACAUCGGCAGCAUUCGAGGUGUGAAUGUUAUAUACGCAUUGACGGGACAACGCAGGUUGAACGCAGCUGUCACUGUACAGACUCUCAUCGAUGUCUUUAGCGUUUCUGGAAUUGUUCAUUAUGGCACAGCAGGAAGUUCCAAUGAUUCCAUGUCGUUUGGCGACGUCAGUGUCCCCAAGCUCGUUGCUUACACAGGCGCUUGGACAUGGAAGAAGUUCAGAUCAACAAAAGAGUCAUCAGCAGAACUAAGCUUUGGAGAAUAUAACGUCCCAAAUGGAGGAGAGAACCUGCUCGGAUCCCUGAAGUUCAGAAAUGAGGAGCUAUACUCAGUGGGUAAGCCUAUGGAAGAAGUUUUCUGGCUACCUGUAGAUUCAGCAUGGUUCAAAAUCGCAGAACAACUUAAGGUCAAACUUGAAAGAUGCAAUGACACUUUCUGCUUGCCGACAACUCCACAAGUUGUCUAUGGGCUUAAAGGAUCAUCAGCCGACAUGUUUCUAGACAACGCAGAAUACAGGAACUUCCUAUUCAGAGAAUUUGGGGUGUCAACAGUCGAUGAGGAGAGCGCAGCAGUGGUUAUGACAACAACAUCUCCUGGCGUACCUGUGAUUGUAUUCCGGGGAGUAUCUGAUUUGGCUGGAGGGGAACCAACAUGGUCGUCAACAAGCCUGAUGAACCUGGCAUCUAUUAAUGCAUUAAAAGUGGCAGUGGAGUUCAUCACUACAGCUGGCAAGCAGAAGUCAACAGUGUCAGCACAGUAAUAACUGAAGAAAAGAUGACUGUCAUACUCAUCCAUUACCACUCCAAUAUGAUUAUAUAGCAAUUGGAAAUUACGUUCAGAAUGAUAUGCAAUCCUGCUGCUUAAAUUCGCACGUCCUCUCCAAUAAAUGGAUAAAUGUUCGAGAUGUGUCAAAUUGAAGGACACCUCAGACUAUGAUUCUAUUUUCAAUGUAAUUUUGAGAUCAUGUGGAACAAAAUCGUGAGCCAGAGAUUUCACUUUUAUUAGAAUAAUACCAGCUCAUGCUACAUUAUUGGAUUUUCAUAAAGAAUUAUCAAUUUAGUCA